AUUGAACGCUAGCGGGAUGCUUUACACAUGCAAGUCGAACGGCAGCGCGGACUUCGGUCUGGCGGCGAGUGGCGAACGGGUGAGUAAUGUAUCGGAACGUGCCCAGUAGCGGGGGAUAACUACGCGAAAGCGUAGCUAAUACCGCAUACGCCCUACGUGGGAAAGCAGGGGAUCGUAAGACCUUGCACUAUUGGAGCGGCCGAUAUCGUAUUAGCUAGUUGGUGAGGUAACGGCUCACCAAGGCGACGAUCCGUAGCUGGUUUGAGAGGACGACCAGCCACACUGGGACUGAGACACGGCCCAGACUCCUACGGGAGGCAGCAGUGGGGAAUUUUGGACAAUGGGGGCAACCCUGAUCCAGCCAUCCCGCGUGUGCGAUGAAGGCCUUCGGGUUGUAAAGCACUUUUGGCAGGAAAGAAACGUCGCGGGCUAAUACCCCGUGGAACUGACGGUACCUGCAGAAUAAGCACCGGCUAACUACGUG
rnacentral:rRNA from 1 species